rnacentral:rRNA from 1 species
UACGAAGGGGGCUAGCGUUGUUCGGAGUUACUGGGCGUAAAGGGUGUGUAGGCGGUUGUUUAAGUUUGGUGUGAAAUCUCCCGGCUCAACUGGGAGGGUGCGCCGAAUACUGAAUGACUAGAGUGCGGGAGAGGAAAGUGGAAUCCUGGUGUAGCGGUGAAAUGCGUAGAUAUCAGGAGGAACACCGGUGGUGUAGACGGCUUUCUGGACCGUAACUGACGCUGAGACACGGAAAGCGUGGGUAGCAAACAGG